AGUGAACGCUGGCGGCAGGCCUAACACAUGCAAGUCGAGCGGCAGCGGGCUGUAGCAAUACAGUGCCGGCGAGCGGCGGACGGGUGAGGAAUACAUCGGAAUCUACCUUGUCGUGGGGGAUAACGUAGGGAAACUUACGCUAAUACCGCAUACGAACUACGGUUGAAAGCGGAGGACCGCAAGGCUUCGCGCGAUUGGAUGAGCCGAUGUCGGAUUAGCUAGUUGGCGGGGUAAUGGCCCACCAAGGCGACGAUCCGUAGCUGGUCUGAGAGGAUGAUCAGCCACAUUGGGACUGAGACACGGCCCAAACUCCUACGGGAGGCAGCAGUGGGGAAUAUUGGACAAUGGGCGCAAGCCUGAUCCAGCCAUGCCGCGUGAGUGAUGAAGGCCUUAGGGUUGUAAAGCUCUUUUGUCCGGGAAGAUAAUGACUGUACCGGAAGAAUAAGCCCCGGCUAACUUCGUGCCAGCAGCCGCGGUAAU
rnacentral:rRNA from 1 species